rnacentral:rRNA from 1 species
GACAGAGGUGCCGAGCGUUAGGCGGAAUCACUGGGCUUAAAGCGCACGUAGGCGGUUCGUUAAGUCGGAUGUGAAAGCCCCUCGGCUCAACUGAGGAAGUGCACCCGAAACUGGCGAGCUUGAGUACGAAAGAGGAUCGCGGAAUUCCCCGGUGUAGAGGUGAAAUUCGUAGAUAUCGGGAGGAACACCGGUGGCGAAGGCGGCGAUCUGGGUCGAUACUGACGCUGAGGUGCGAAAGCGUGGGGAGCAAACAGG